rnacentral:rRNA from 1 species
GAGUUUGAUCGUGGCUCAGAUUGAACGCUGGCGGCAGGCCUAACGCAUGCAAGUCGAGCGGAUGAAGGGAGCUUGCUCCUGGAUUCAGCGGCGGACGGGUGAGUAAUGCCUAGGAAUCUGCCUGGGUAGUGGGGGAUAACGUCCGGAAACGGGCGCUAAUACCGCAUACGUCCUGGAGGGGGAAAGUGGGGGAUCUUCGGACCUCACGCUAUCAGAUGAGCCUAGGUCGGAUUAGCUAGUUGGUGGGGUAAAGGCCUACCAAGGCGACGAUCCGUAACUGGUCUGAGAGGAUGAUCAGUCACACUGGAACUGAGACACGGUCCAGACUCCUACGGGAGGCAGCAGUGGGGAAUAUUGGACAAUGGGCGAAAGCCUGAUCCAGCCAUGCCGCGUGUGUGAAGAAGGUCUUCGGAUUGUAAAGCACUUAAGUUGGGAGGAAGGGCAGUAAGUUAAUACCUUGCUGUUUGACGUUACCAACAGAAUGAGCACCGGCUAACUUCGUGCCAGCCGCCG